UCGAACCGCGGCCGGCGUCACAUGCGGCUCGGCGGGUUUUCUUUUUACGCGGAGAAAGUAUUUCCCGAGAAGAGCAAGGUGCGGUGGAGGUGCACGCGUCGCACCUGUCGGGCGUACGCGCACACGCUCCACGACCGUAUCUUCGCUCUGAGCAACGUUCACUCACACGAGCCCCCGGCAAUACCUCCGGCCGCUUUGGCUGCGCCUUACCGCGCCUUCACGCACGCAGCCCUAGCCACCCAGGCCAAAGCUGUGCUCGACGAUUAAUCAAAUAACAUAGGCAUAAAAGGAUUUAUGUGAGAAUAAAAUAUUAAGAUUAGGUAUUAUUCUUCAGAAAUCGGAUUGUUUAAUUUGCUGUAAGUAAUGACCGCGGCGUCACUUAUAAUGUGGUUAGAAUUGCACAAACAGGUGACAAGUAAUUUUGCAAGUGCGCUGUGCGGCUUAAGUCUAGUCAAAUCUAGUCAACGACAGAAAUUUUAGUUGCUUCGUCUACACUGAUCUCAAAAAACAUUCUGCUAAUGUACGUAGCUUGUAAUAAAUUUUAAGGUAAACCGUUAAUAAAUUUUAAAGUAAACUUAGCAAUAAUUGUAGAAUAAGUGUGAGGAUUUAAGUUAUAUUAUUGUCGCGAGAGCUUAGUUUAGUAAAUAUGUGUAGUUAGUAUAAUUAGUGUAAUUAUUUAUUGUUGGUAAGCAUACAUAAAAACUUAUAUAAACACAAAACAUAAAAGUAGCUAGCUAUUGAACACUAUAUCACUGUAACACCAGUUUAGCCAAGCAGCUUCAAAGACAGAAAUAAUAAAUUGCUGUGAAAAACAAAUAACGAGAUA